GAGCCCGUAGCUCAGUUGGUAGAGCAUCGCCCUUUUAAGGCGAGGGCCGUUGGUUCGAAUCCAACCGGGCUCA
rnacentral:tRNA from 1 species